rnacentral:misc_RNA from 1 species
AAAUAUUUAAUGACAUUAACAGCUAUAGAUAAUUAAUAGAAAAGAUUAUUGAAUAAUUAAAGAACACUAGAUAAUUACCGUAAAAUGAGGUCAAAAGACACGAUUUCAAAGUUCGAAUGAUAAAUUUUCUAUAUGAUCGUUGAAAAUAUAAAAUAUAAUUUAGUAUUAUCUUUUUGUCACCACUUAUACUUCACUAUAAUAACUAAAAAUUAUAAAAUAUAUUUUUAUACUCCAAGAAGUGUGCAGAAUUUUGAGCAUGCAUUAGAGGAGGACCA